UACAGAGGAGCCAAGCGUUGUCCGGAUUGACUGGGCGUAAAGCGCACGCAGGCGGUUUCGCGCGUGGGGUGUGAAAUCUGGCCGCUUAACGGCCAGGCGCCAUCCCAUACGGCGCGACUGGAGUGAUGCAGAGGUCGAUGGAAUUGCCGGUGUAGUGGUGAAAUGCGUAGAGAUCGGCAGGAACACCCAGGGGGAAACCAGUCGACUGGGCAUCUACUGACGCUGAGACGCGAAAGCGUGGGGAGCAAACAGG
rnacentral:rRNA from 1 species